UACGGAGGGUGCAAGCGUUAAUCGGAAUUACUGGGCGUAAAGCGCACGCAGGUGGCUGAGUCAGUCGAUUGUGAAAGCCCUGGGCUUAACCUGGGAAUUGCAGUCGAUACUACUCAGUUAGAGUAUGGGAGAGGGUAGUGGAAUUCCCGGUGUAGCGGUGAAAUGCGUAGAUAUCGGGAGGAACAUCAGUGGCGAAGGCGGCUACCUGGCCCAAUACUGACACUCAGGUGCGACAGCGUGGGGAGCAAACAGG
rnacentral:rRNA from 1 species